rnacentral:rRNA from 1 species
UACGUAGGGUGCGAGCGUUGUCCGGAAUUAUUGGGCGUAAAGAGAACGUAGGCGGUUUCCUAAGUUCGGUCUUAAAGACCGGGGGCUCAACCCCCGGGAAUGGAUUGAAAACUGGGGAGACUCGAGGACAUCAGAGGAAAGUGGAAUUCCCAGUGUAGCGGUGAAAUGCGUAGAUAUUGGGAGGAACACCAGUGGCGAAAGCGACUUUCUGGGGUGUUUCUGACGCUGAGGUUCGAAAGCUCGGGGAGCAAACAGGG